UUGGAGGGCAAGUCUGGUGCCAGCAGCCGCGGUAAUUCCAGCUCCAAUAGCGUAUAUUAAAGUUGUUGCAGUUAAAAAGCUCGUAGUUGAAUUUCGGGAUCAAUAUGCCGGUCAUGCCUUGGUAUGCACUGGUAUCUUUGAUUUCUCCCUUCUGACGAACUUUGAUGUCAUUAAUUUGGUGUCAUAGGGAAUCAGGACUGUUACUUUGAAAAAAUUAGAGUGUUUAAAGCAGGCUCACGCUUGAAUACAUUAGCAUGGAAUAAUGAAAUAGGACGUUUGAUUCUAUUUUGUUGGUUUCUAGGAUCGACGUAAUGAUUAAUAGGGAUAGUUGGGGGCAUUAGUAUUCAAUUGUCAGAGGUGAAAUUCUUGGAUUUAUUGAAGACUAACUACUGCGAAAGCAUUUGCCAAGGAUGUUUUCAUUAAUCAAGAACGAAAGUUAGGGGAUCGAAGACGAUCAGAUACCGUCGUAGUCUUAACCAUAAACUAUGCCGACUAGGGAUCGGAUGAUGUUAAUUUUUUAAUGACUCAUUCGGCGCCUUACGGGAAAC
rnacentral:rRNA from 1 species